rnacentral:lncRNA from 1 species
UUUGCUUAAUUGAAGUUAGUUCCAGCGUGACAUUGGAGAGCACAAAAAGCUUCAGCUUAGUUCCAGCAAUUCACCAUCACACUCGAAAAACAAGCAAACUCCUCCGAUUUGAAUUUGUGAAUUUGUGGUUUCCUUCACCUGAGUUCCUCCGAUUUGAAUCUCUCAUCUCAAACUCUGAGCUCCGAACUUCAAUUUAAUCCCCAGAGAGAGAUUGAUCCGAGCUCAAAACUCUCCGACAUCGUCGUAGCAGCAUCCCUCGCGAUCUCCUCCGCUUGAGAUCAAAAUUUUGGUGCGACCUUUUCAUUUCUCCUCUAAUUUCAUAUAUAAUUUAUCUAUUUAUAACCAUUAUUCUAUCAUUUUAUUGAAGCUCUGCUUUGGUGCAUUGUAAUUGAAGCUCUACUUUCGAAUUGAAGUCCAGUCUCACAGUAGCCAUUCUAAGUAGUAAGUUUCUCAAUCUCCUUCCUUGACUAUUUUCUAUGAUUUUUGUGAAAUUGUUUGAUUCUAGUUUUUGAAUUGGAAUUUCUGGUUAAUUAAGCAAACUCGACUGCAAAUGAAACUUUCAAUUUAAAUUUUGAAUGGGGAUUUUAGGUUGUCCUUUUCUUUUGUUUUGCUGCAAUUGUAUAUGAAUUUUUUGUUGAUUUAUAGUUCUACAAAAUUAAGCUCGAAAUUAUACAAUUUCUUUGUUUUUAGCUUGUUAGUUUUGAAAUGGACAAGAGUUGGAUUAAUGCGCCAAGGGUUAGUGAUGUUUAUAAGAGUGGAUGUGAGUCAUUCAUACAAUUUGCCAUGGAAGUGUUGGAAUAAAUGGCUUUAUUAGUCCAUAAUUACUUUGUAAUUAAUGGAAUUAAAUGGUAUAUUUGGAAUCUACAUUUUGAGUAGAUUAAUUUGGUAUAUUUACUUGUUCAAAUCUAUUAAGAAUUGAAUGAGUAAUUAAUGCCCAAAGAUAGCCAUUGAAGGUGGAAAUGUGGAGUGUCAUCCCACAUUGGAAAAAUAAAGAAGUUGAAAGCUAUUUAUAAAGUGCUCUCCACCAUAAAGGAACAAUCAAGUGUGCUCCUCUAUGGUGGACCUAUGGUGCACCCAAGUAGGUUUUGACUUAGCCUUUUAAGGCUAAAACUCGAUUCCUACGAGCACCUUCCGAGUCCGAGUCCGAGUCCGAGGCCGAGCACGUGCACGUCGCACUUGUCGCAAUGGGCGCUUUGUAGGCGCACUUUGCACUUGUCGCAAUGGAGCCUUUAGUUUUGACGAAUGAAACGAUGGUUCGGGUGACGUGGCAACAUGACUCGGCGCUUCGGUGACGUGGCAGGGUGGGCGGACGCUGACGUGGCACAGGCGGUUCCAUGACAUGGCGGAUAAAGGUCCGGGUGGCUCUGAACGGAUGAGGCUGGGCGGCUGCUUGGGCCGAACCAUUGCAAUGGUUCGGUCAUGGCACCCCUUGACCGAAUAGGUGUGAUGGUUCGGUCAAGGCCUUCUCCCAACAGACGCACCCCUCCACCGCACCCCUCUACAUACUAUAAAUAGGCCCUCCAGGAUGUGGUUCAAAUCAUUCCAUUCACAUCCUCUCCUAUCAUACUAGUUAGUAUUCAUACUCAAGUCCCGAGUAUCGAGCCGUUCGACCGGAUAACGAUCUCCUAGUGCUAAGGAAUCGUCUAUCGACCCUAUACCGUUGUAUCUUGGGGGCAAUUACUAUAGAUCCGCAAGCACAAGAGCGGAAGUAAUUUUGCCUUACGGAGAGAGAUUUAAUCUCGCCUCGGUUCUGCAUUAUUCUUUUAUAGUCAUCCUAUUUUCUACACUACCCAAAUAACAGGAAGCUCAAGAAACUAUACUUUGCCCCUGCUUGAAGUGUUGUAAUGGCAAAAGGUUUUCAACUGAAAAUGUUCUUCAUCACAUAUUAUUCAAUGGUUUUUGUCCGGGAUAUACUACUUGGAAUUUUCACGGAGAACAUGUAUCUUUCCCAAAUGAAAGCAUUUUCUUAAUCAUGUUUGACACAUGUAAUUGCAUAUAUUUCACCAUGCCCCAUAUAUAUUGGUGGUUGACCUUGUUAUUUGAGUUAAUUGCAUAAAUAUUCAAGAGCUUAUUUGGCAUGGAUAAUAGCAACAUCUAUUUCUUCUAUUUGCAAUUGCCUCGAAUAUAUAUUAGUUGAAUACCUUCUAUUUCAUUUUGUAAGGUCAUUUUUAUAUUAGCAAAUUAGGUGAGAUAUCUAAAAAAAUAAUUACACAUUUUACUUGUCACAAAAACUAGUUACACUUAUAAAUGUCACAAAAAUAGCUACUUGCUUACAUGUCACAAAAAAAUAACUACACUCUUAAAUGUCACAAAAACUAGUUACACUUAUAAAUGUCACAAAAAUAGCUACUUGCUUACAUGUCACAAAAAAAUAACUACACUCUUACAUGUCACAAAAAUAAUUACACUUACUAUUGUCACAAACUAUCACUUCAAAGUCAAAAAUUUAUGACUUAUUAGUUGACAUUCUCAAGGUAUGCACAAUUCAAUGAUACCAAUAUCAUAGGUCACUUUAAAAUAUUGUAUAUAAAUUUAACACUUUCAUCUAAACCAAACCCUCAUAUUUAUUUAUUUCAUAUAAAUGUAUUUUAUUUCCUAAUUUUUGCAAAAACUUGUGUGAAACGUUCUUAGUGCAAGAUUUGGACUAACUACAUUUGAAUGAUAUAUUUAUAGUUCUAUUGUAUUUGUAAUUACAAAUAUAUAUGCUACUAUUAAAUUUGCAUUUGAAUUCAGAUUUUAAUUACUCCGUCUCAUCUUGAGACACUUCACACAGACCUCUUCUUUUUAUUGUACAAAUUUGAUCUAUUUAUUUAUCAAUAAAUCUAUGCAGCCACAUUGUGGCCACCCACAUAUUAAUAUAAUAAGGAUAAUCUUGAUUUAUUUAAUUUAUUUUUUUAAAUAAAAAUAGGAUUUAGUUAUUUUAUUAUAUUCUCUACAUUGUACUUUUUUUUAAUUUUUUUUUGCAUUUUUUAUUUUUAAUUUAUUUUUUAACAAAAAUAAAAAGUUUCCAAAAAAUUGCAAAAAAUAACUAUAAUGUAGAAAAUAUGAUAAAAUAACUAAAUCUUAUUUUUAUUUUAAUUAAAAAAUAAGUUAAAUAAAUUAAAUUAUUUUCUACUUAGAUAAUAUUAUGUGUGGCCACAAUAUGGCUGUUUAAUACUCUUUAUUUAUUGGACCAAAUAAAAUGCUCUAGGUCAGUAUUGGUAAAGUAAGUGCUUCAUUAGAUGGACUAAUGAAAACUCAGCCUAAUUAAGUGCUGUCACCAAAUGAAACCUAAAUCAUCAUGGGUUUCCUCAAAAAAAGGUACAAUGACUAGUACAAUCCACCUUUUGUUGUUCAUGAUAAUAUAUUGCAAAUUGCAGAGAAAAAAACAAAUCAUUUUUUUCUUGGCUUCUCGUAUAUUAUAUUCCUCUUCUUUGACUAGGUACUCUACUACUAUUAAAUAUCUAAAAACACAUAAAAUUUUGGUUUAUACACAUCUCCAUCAGACUUAGGAUUCAAGCCGGAUAUGAUCCAAGAAAUUAAAUUCGAGAAUAAAAAGUGUAAUGAAUCAAGAUUUGUUACAGUAGUGUGAAUUAAAAUAAAUAAAAAUAUCUUAAGUGACCCUUGAAGUGUUUUUCUUUAUGGCACAAGUAAAAAGCAGUGCAUGUGUGACCAGCUGUUGAUGAAAUACACAACAAGUCAAAAGAGGGACCAAAUUGGAUGACUAGUGCUAGUGGAUCCAUCAUUCCUUUUCCACAUUAUCUUUCCCAUUUUGAUCUUCAAUAUUUUUUGAAUUAAGUAAUAAAGAUUUUUAGGUUUGUGUUAGACACAAAAUUUCUACAAUUAUUAUAUGAAUAAUGCUAAACGCACAUAAUAUGUGCGCAAGUAAUUGGACUUUUUUGUCAAUUUGCAUAUUUUUAUUAAUUGGGGAAUUAAUUUUAUUUUAUUUGAAUUUACAUUUUACCUAAUUACCCAUGGUAAUUAUUAAGGAAAUGAUUUCUCAUAAAAUUUCCUUAAUAAUUCAAAAUCUUAUUGCCUUUAUUCAAUUAUAAUAUUUCCUUAAUAAUUCAAAAUCUUGUUGCCUUUCUUCAAUUAUACGAACUGAAUCUUAAGGAAAUGAGCUUAGAGUUUUUUUUUUUUUAAUGGACAAUAUAUUUCAGUAUUUGUAGAAUGCAGAUGGAGUCAACAUUUGUGGGGGCUGUGGCAAUAUGCAACACAACAAUAAUAAUAUUCACAGAAAAUUUCUCUAAUUUCUUAUUUUAUUUGCAUUUAUUUCUUCACAAGACUUAAUGAAAAAAAUGAAUACACCAAGAGAGCCGCGGUGAAUUUUUUUGGGGUGGUGGUGGAUUGUUUUUGGAGACUGGGGGAGGGGAUUGAUUUUAGAGCCGUGUGAUUGAUUUAUUUUGAGGUGGUGUUUAGUUUCAUUUUUUUUUGUUUCUUAAUUGGUUUUGAUUAAAUUCUUUUGUUUUUGAAUGUUGAUUUAAUUUCAUUAUAUAUAUGAAAUCGUGGUGAUGAAGUAACACAUUAAAUAAGAUUAAUUCAAUUUUAUUUUAUAUAUGAUUUUCCUAUUUCAUUUUUUAGUUUAAUUAGUAAUAUAAAUUUAUAUUAAUAGACCGGGCAUAUUUUAAGAAACAAAUCAAUUACUUUUCAAAAUUAUUGAAGUUAAAAAAGGAAAAAAUAUCAUUAGGAACAAAUCAAUAACUUAUCAAUAUAGAAUAUGGGUAAUUUAGUCAAGGACAUUAUUUGAACCGGGUUAUAACAAAUAAAUCGGUCCGGUUUAAUUUUAAAGGGCAUUAUGUAUUCACAUAUUAUGUGCAUACUCAAAAGGGAAAAUACUCAAAAGGGAUUGAUAAAUCAGGGAGAUCAAAAUAGUUGGAGUCUGAACCAUGUAGAGUUAAACAUUAAGAGGUCUGAUUUUCUAUUUGUUUUUUAGAAAUAUCCCACCAUUGAAUGAUAAAAUUCUUUCUUUGUCCAAUAAUAUUGGAUGGAGUGGCCCUGAAAAUUUAUGAUGAUUGAAUGUGAAGCAAAACUUGGCAUGAUUACCUGAUUUGACUGAGUAGCUGAGAAAAUGCUAAUAAUUCCCUCUCUCUCUCUGAUUAUCUGAUUUGACUGAUUAUAGGUGAGAAAAUGCUAAUAACUCUCUCUCUCUCCAGAAUAUCUCAUAAAACGCGGUAUGAGAAAUAUAAAAUACUCUCUCAGUCCGCUAAAAGUAUUCCACUUUGACCGGACACGAAAUUUAAUAAAAUGUGUGAUGAUGUUGAUGUAGUGGAGAAAAGACCCCACCACUUUAUGAGAUGUGUGGAAAUUAAUUUGGGGUGAAUUUUUUGUAAAUAAAGAGUAUUUGUAAAAAUAAAAUAUAAAGGUGGAUGGUGGGACCAUGGCUUAAAAAGAAAAGUGGAAUACUUUUUACGGACGCCAAAUAUAGUAAUUAUGGAAUACUUUUGACGGACGGAAGGAGUACACCAUUGUGUCUGGUGGAAGUUAUUGAAGAAUAUUGCUUAAAAAACAAGCAUAGAACUAUAGGAGAAAAAGCGACAUUAGAUCCUUUGUUUUAUGUUCUUUUUUCAGAAAGCACAAUGAAGAGAAACAGGAGAAGUCAGCAGAAGUUGGCCUCUAACAAAAGCGUGUUGAAUUUUACACAUUUAGAUAUCCGAAAACGACUCGACUGCCCGAAAGCCAUGACUCUCAGGAAGAGGUCCGUUGCCGGCCCGAAUGGAGACUAUCACCUCCAUGCCUGCAUUAACACGGCAAUGCCACUCGUAAAAACAGGCGAAAAUACCGCCUCAACUCCAUAUUAUCCCUAAUUGGAAAUCAGCGAAUCCUAAUUGGGAUGGAUGCACCCUACAUCUAGAUGUACACAAGUUUUUACCUUUCAAGAUUAUAGGUUAGUGGAGCUUGGAAAGUACCUGCUGUUUUUGCAGCUGUAGCUUCUUCGUACACGUCGGUCACAAACAAAAUCUGCGAUGGAUUGUCCACUCCUAGAGUUUCGGUGAUGUGCACGUAGGAUCUCAUUUCUUUCUUGUUUCUUCAUAAAACCAAGAGAAAUGUCAGCCUAGUCACAUGACGCGAUGCAAGAAUUUGAAGUCGAUAAGCCUUACCCUAUCGUGGUGUCAAAAAACCCGCACAAGUACUUCCUCAGGUCCCCGUACUUGGUGUUGCCAAACAAGAGCUUCUGAGCUAGUCUGCUCCCACUGGAAUAUAUAUACACCUACAAGAAAAGGGAUUGUGAGAAAGAAUGAUUGUAAAUGGAUUGCAAUAUUAGUUGAUUUCCACAAAUCAUUAUGCAGCUACCUCCAAUAUAUCUAACCAACCAAAGCAUUAUUCGGAAAUUUUAUGAUAUUGGCAAAAUAAAUCAUCUUAAUCUAUCCUAUCACACAAAAUAACCCCCACCCCAAAAAGGUCUUUUUGCACCUUACCUUAUUGCAACAUUUGGACUGUUAACUCUAUUUCUAAAGUUCAAGAAAAUACACCAAAUUGUUAUUCAAGAAUCCUAUGUACAUCUUAGGCCAUGACUGUAUUCAAACGGUGUUAAGCUUUUACAGUCAAGCUAUUUUUCUGCAGAACCUGCCUUUUACAGUAUCGUCACCAGAGUCGAGUUUAUCUACUAAUAAUCAUUUUGUCUGCAGCCACAUAGGCUCUUACAGGCAUGUUUUUCUGUUUGCGAGUUUAGCCAAAGAAAAGAGACUAGUAAACAGAUUCAUAGAGA